UAAUUAAAAAUGUAAACCUUUUUUUUUUUUUGUGUGUCGAAGCCCAUGUCAGCCUUUGCUAACUGCACUGAGCUUAGGCCGUGGGUCGGGCUGCAGCCCCGCAUGUUUCACGUUUGGCGAAGCUCGGUCUACAUCUAAAACCACGAAACAGCGCCGUUUAGUUUCCGAAUAAUUACUUUAACCGACUCAAAUGUAAGGGCCGGUAAGCAGCGAAGCCCCCCGCUGAUGCCGCUCCGUUAUUCGGCUGGGGCCGACCUGAGGCUGGGACACGGCGGCGUCGCAGGCGCCAAGUUACCCCGCCGGCUCUCGUACCCGCUCCGCACUUUUAGUCAUGCAAUUUUUUUUUGCAUUUCGCCAUAUUGCUGCAUAUUAAGUUUACCGGAGAGGCCGCUAUGGAUGUAGUUUAAUAGUCCCUGUGGUGUGAUGGCAAAACUUACUUUCCGUCAGUAUGUACCAGCAGAUAAAGUGUAAAUUUAAAAUGGGAGUUCGGUGUUUUUUAUAAGCUGGACAACAGGCUUGUAGGCCAAAUGUUUGGGUGACAGAAUAACAAGUCGCUCGCAAUCGAUUGAGAAACUGCGCCUCAGUAUCCGUAUGUCUUCGUACAUCAGAACAAUCCACCGAAGGUAAAUCGCCAACACGGCGGCUCGCAUUUGUGCUGAUGGCUUUAGCUCGAUCACCGCACGAAGCAGAAAAGUGGCAGAUGGAUGUCCAGCGAAUAUGAUGUCCUCCACGCCGGAGUCCAAACACAACUAAUCCCCGCAAUCUCUGAUCUCGAUGUCCUAGAUCGGUCGAAGCUGUGUCCGGCAGCUUGCAAUAACAGUGUUUUUUUUUUGUUGUGCUCACGUUAUGCAGACGCUUGUCCCCCCCUAAAACACUUCUAAGGCCGAACAAAAAACCGCUUCCCUGAAACUGGGUUAUUUUUUUUUGCGUUUGCCACAGAUUGCAUGGAAGGGCAUUUAACGUUCUUGCCGUGCUGCCAAACUUCAGUUUAAUGCCCCAGUCCCCCCCACUCGAAGAGACUGGCUUGUUCCGUCUACUUGCUUGGUGGCUCACGCGUUGCGAAAACUGUGAUGCGAGCUAAUGGGAAUUUUUUUUCUUUUCCGCCGCUCUUGUUUUGUUUUGCAUAGCAUAGCAUGCUAGCACCUAAAUGGUUAUCUAUGUUUGCUAAGACAGUAUUUUAAUUUCAACGAGAGCAAAAGUGGGGAUUUGAAUAACAGAGAGGGGAGUCUGUAAGGGAGGCCAUUUUGACCACUGAGAAAUAAACUCCCAUGGGCGCCACUUAUGUUUUUUUUUUGGUUUUUUUUUUUUAUUCGAACAUAUGCUUACAACACAACAAAUACACCAUUUUAAACAAAACUAAGAACGAAAGAUGCAAACCGUGUCCCAGUUUGAGAAGUGGGAUCAUAUAGACUUCCAGAUUAUCUUGUCAUAAUUCCGUUAGCUUUUUUUUGUCCUCGCCAGAGAUAAAAGCAGUAGAUGUUUAGAGCUGUGGAACUUGAGGAAGGACACAUCUUGCAAAACGUUGUUAGAUUGGAUGUUAAGCGGCGGCACCAAGAAGAGGCCAGAAGAACCGAACGAAAGUGGCGUUUUAAUUGGACAUCAUCGGCAACAUGUUUGCAUGUUACACUGAGAUCAAGGCGGGAUUUCAUCACGUAUAAACGCUUCACUUUGGGCUGUUAGCUGGGUCUGCAUACCGUCUCUGCUCGUCAUGUGGCCAUUGCACCUCAACGAGUAACUGGGGUCACCACUACACAUUCGUACUACGUUGAAUGUAUGCUACUUAUGAUCCUUUAUCGACGAACAUUUCGUGGUACCAUUCACACGAUCAUCGAUUCAUCCACCACCUUCACCUUCCCCGAUCAUAAUCGGAGUGUGCACACACUGAUUUUCUGUUAUUAAAACAGUACAUUAAAAUGUAACGUUCUGCUUAA